GUAGUCCCAGUUCUGCCCCCUCCAUGCUGAGUGACCUUGGGUUGCUCCCUUUCCCUCUUUGAGCCGCAGAGUUCUCCAUCUGGAAUACAGGUAGCACUUGUUGCCCAGGCAGUACCGCCACAGGCCCUGGUGGGCGAAGGACCCUGACAGCCGGUACUGCAUCCAGUGGUCUGU